UACGUAGGGGGCAAGCGUUGUCCGGAUUUAUUGGGCGUAAAGAGCGUGUAGGCGGCCAGGUAGGUCCGCUGUGAAAACUCGAGGCUCAACCUCGAGAUGUCGGCGGAAACUAUCUGGCUAGAGUCCGGAAGAGGAGAGUGGAAUUCCUGGUGUAGCGGUGAAAUGCGCAGAUAUCAGGAAGAACACCCGUGGCGAAGGCGGCUCUCUGGGACGGUACUGACGCUGAGACGCGAAAGCGUGGGGAGCGAACAGG
rnacentral:rRNA from 1 species